AUUAACAAACUAUCGCAUAUGUGACAUCCUAGUUCUUGGUGGGCCAACAGUGUCCGAUAGAAAAAACAUAUAUGAGUGCAUAAAAGAAUUAUACAGCAGAAGAAAAGUCAUCCCUUAUAAAAAUUUGGUAUUCAAAUACAUCUAAGGUUAAGAAGUUGGUUAACAAAAUAUAUACAACGUUCUAACCACUUCUUUCAUUACAAAAUAAUUGUUCAUCAAAGUACAAUCAUUCACAUGUACUCAAAUAUCUACUACAGAUCCGCAAACGGAUCUAAACAAGCUUCAAAGGGCAGCUGGAGGAGCGAUUCUUCACUUUCCUCAUUGUUUGAAGGUAAUGGAUUCGGGUGAGCUUCAUAAACCUCAAUAAGAAAAAUAAUAUUUAAACUACGCUACUAAAGUUUCUAAGGUUAUUUAUUUUAAAAACUCAUCGUUACCUUUACAAUCAAUGAACUUACCAUUGGAGACCAUCUCAGAAUAGGUUCAUUUAAAAUACCAUUGAAAAUGUUUACUUUUAAUUAAUCAGAAUACAUUUUUUAAUGCUAGUUCUAUAACAAAAUAAUAAAACAAAACAGUGAGAAACAUAGCAGAAACCAAUAGAACAAACAAUAGCAUGGUUUGACAUAAUGGAACUGUGAUAAACAUACUCAAAUUUAUAAAUAGUCUAAGCAUGGAUAACCAAUCAACAGUCCUAGUUAGACAGUUAAACAUUUUGAUUCAAUUACGGAUUUUAUAGAUCUUCGUAUGAAUCCAUUUUAAAUUAUAUCAGCAGAUGGCAGAAGGGAUCCAUAACUAUUACUAUGAAUGGGAAACAGUUCAAUUCAAUAUAUCGUAAAGCAGUUAAAAAUUAUGAUCAUGAUCGUACUUCACCACUGUGGCCCCUACAAUCAGUCACAAUCCGCUCUCAUCAUAGGGAACGUCAGUACUAUUCACAAGGAGCAUUUCAUCAACAAUUGGUGAAAGUCAUAUUCGAUCGCCUCUUAGUGAUAACAGUUAAGUAUAUUGUAGUUUUUCCACUUUUCUUACCAGUUUAAAAUCACAAUCAAAUUUACAAUCCAAAUCAUUCAUUUCGACCCAUAAGGCUCAUCCUCGAAUCUUAAUACCUACCCGUUUCUCCACCAUUCUGAAUUACUAAAAUACUGCCAUUGAGCCGAUGCCAACUCUGGGUCAACUAAACAUCCCAAACCUGUUGAGGACCAUUGGCUAACCUGACCUGAUAAAGUCCAACACCCAAUCCAAACCCUGUGGGGGUCUAAUAACUAAACCUAACCAAUUUGGGACCAUCAACCCAGAUUGGGCCAUCGAGUUACCUUCUCGAGCCAAGGCCCAAUUGCGUAACCCUCCAGGCCAUCCCCCAAAGAUAAGGCAGAAGGCCCAACCCGCACACACAACGUACCGUUCAAAAAAUAAAUUUUUAUUUUCAUGACUCAACUUAAACAUGCACUUUCAUAUACACACAAAAUUCAAAGACAAAACACUCAAAUUUCAUCAUACACUCGACAAAAUACGAUCAUUAAACAAUGUUCAUCACAUGAACAAAAAUAAACCAAACAAUUAUGAAAUUUAAUUACCUUUUAAAUAUUUUUAAAGUCGAGAAAUCACACUUAGGAGGGUAAGAGAAAGUACCAAAAACCCUUACCUAAACUUUCNNN
rnacentral:lncRNA from 1 species